rnacentral:misc_RNA from 1 species
CUGCAUCAUGCAAGUGCGCGAUCGAGGACCCAGAAGCGAUGACAAUCGCCAAGAACGCCACCAAGGGCCAUAGCACGGCGCGAGGAGGGGGGAACCAAGCGAAGCAAAGAGCGCCGGGCCUCGCUCUUUCCCUGCAAAAGCAAAACACAAUUAUUUAGGACCGUAUCAGUGCUUGCCUACAUGUUUUUCUGGAUCCUCUCCCUCGCUUUCGAGCGUGCGCGACCACGAGCAAUGUGCGCGUGUGACUCUCAGGGCUUCCCCUGCCGCCACCGACUGCCUCCCUCUUUUCAGAGCGGGGUGGCUGAUUUGCUGGUUCCCUCGAGCAAGCGUGCCGCCUCCUCCACCACGGUCUCAGACGGUGCGUCUUCUUUCCGCGCGUCGCGCUAUGUCUUCACCAGUACCAGCACCCCCCCUCUUUUCGCGGCUUUCAUCACCCGCUUUCACCUGCUCUCUUCUCUCACUUCGGCAUUCCCACAUCACCUCCGCUCCUUUAUCCACCGUGAGCAG